CCCGCCCCUCCCCGCCCUGCGCCGCCACCCGCCCGCCAGCCUGCAGUCCCGGAAACCGAGUCCCUCCUGUGAGCGCCCAGAGCUGGACUGGCCCAGCCCCCCGCGCAGCCGAGGCCCCGCAGCUCUCGCUGCCCCCAGCCGGCGCCUGGGCGCGGGGCCAUGGGGCGCGCGGGCCGGCGGGAGUCCGGAGCAGGAGCCCGGCGGGAAAUGGGGUAGAUAUGGAUUCCCAGUUACCCCAGCGGCCAGUGCUCCCCCUAGUCCACACAGUGAGACCGUGAAAGCAGAUGCUCCAGGGGACUCCUGCACAGCUUUUGCUCGGUGGAUGAUGGGUGACUACAGACUCUCUGACCACCCCCAGCCCAUGGAAAUUCUCAACCUGUACUUGGGAGACAGCCUGGAGCUCCACCCAGGAGAGUGCCCGAGGGAAACGUGCAGCCAUGAGGAUCCACCGGAGCCUUUCGAGGAGCAAACCUGGGCCACUGACCCUCCUGAACCUACCAGACAAAAUGUUCCUCCCUGGGGCUCCGGUGUGGAGCUCACACACCUGGGGAGCUGGGUCCAUCAGGACGGGCCGGAGCCUUGCGAAGAGCAAACCUGGGCCACCGACCCUCCUGAAUCUACCAGACAAGAUGCUCCUCCCUGGGGCUCCGGUGUGGAGCUCACACACCUGGGGAGCUGCUCUGCCCAGGGGGAGCACAGGCAGAGCACAGCAUCACCAGGGUCACAAGUGAACAGCCAUCUACCGGGGAGCCCACAGCAGAACCGGAGCACGUCCACGCAGGUAGUGUUCUGGGCAGGCAUCCUGCAGGCCCAGAUGUGUGUCCUAGACCUGGAGGAGGAGCUGGAGAAGACGGAAGGGCUCAAGGCUGGGCUGAAAUGCUGUCUCCCCACGCCCCCUGUGGACCUCCCC
rnacentral:sRNA from 1 species